rnacentral:rRNA from 1 species
AUUGAACGCUGGCGGCAGGCCUAACACAUGCAAGUCGAGCGGAUGAGUGGAGCUUGCUCCAUGAUUCAGCGGCGGACGGGUGAGUAAUGCCUAGGAAUCUGCCUGGUAGUGGGGGACAACGUUUCGAAAGGAACGCUAAUACCGCAUACGUCCUACGGGAGAAAGUGGGGGAUCUUCGGACCUCACGCUAUCAGAUGAGCCUAGGUCGGAUUAGCUAGUUGGUGAGGUAAAGGCUCACCAAGGCGACGAUACGUAACUGGUCUGAGAGGAUGAUCAGUCACACUUGAACUGAGACACGGUCCAGACUCCGACGGGAGGCAGCAGUGAGGAAUAUUGGACAAUGGGCGAAAGCCUGAUCCAGCCAUGCCGCGUGUGUGAAGAAGGUCUUCGGAUUGUAAAGCACUUUAAGUUGGGAGGAAGGGCAGCAAGUUAAUACCUUGCUGUUUUGACGUUACCAACAGAAUAAGCACCGGCUAACUUCGUGCCAUCAGCCGCGGUAAAAC